AUCACCCAUCAUACAUUCUUCAUC
rnacentral:siRNA from 1 species